AUUGAACGCUGGCGGCAGGCCUAACACAUGCAAGUCGAGCGAGCGGCGGACGGGUGAGUAAUGUCUGGGAAACUGCCUGAUGGAGGGGGAUAACUACUGGAAACGGUAGCUAAUAACGCAUACCAUCAGAUGUGCCCAGGUGGGAUUAGCUAGUCGGGUGGGUAACGGCUCACCUAGGCGACGAUCCCUAUCUGGUCUGAGAGGAUGACCAGCCAACCGGGAACGGAGACACGGUCCAGACUCCAACGGGAGGCAGCAGGGGGGAAUAUUGCACAAGGGGGGAAGGCCUGAUGCAGACAGGCCGCGGGUGGGAAGAGGGCCUUCGGGUUGUAAAGCACUUUCAGCGGGGAGGCGGUACCCGCAGAAGAAGCACCGGCUAACUCCGUGCCAGCAGCCGCGGUAAUAC
rnacentral:rRNA from 1 species